rnacentral:lncRNA from 1 species
UUUUUUUUCUUUUUUUUUGUCUUUUGUCUUUUUAGGGCCGCACCCUCGGCAUAUGGAGGUUCCCAGGCUAGGGGUCCAAUCAGAGCUAUUGCUGCUGGCCUAUACCACAGCCACAGCAACACCAGAUCUGAGCUACGUCUUCGACCUACACCACAGCUCACGGAAACACCAGAUCCUUAACCCACUGAGCAAGGCCAGGGAUCAAACCCACAACCUCAUCAUUCAUAGUCGGUUCCAUUUCCACUGUGCCAUGAUGGGGAACUCCCUAGAAUAGCUAAUUUUUUUUAAAUAUCAUAAUAAAUAUAUCAAUUUCUAGUAAAGUCCUGAAGAAACUGAAUCCCCCAAACCUUGAUGAUGGGAAAUUAAAAUGGUACAGUCAUUCUGGAAAAAAUUUUCACAGUUUCUUAACAAAAAUAAAUAAACAUGCAACUUCCAUACCACCCAGCAAGUGCAGUCCUGGGCAUUUAUCCCAGAGAAAUGAAAGCUUAUGUCCACACAAAUAUCUGUACAUAGUUGCUCACAAAAGCUUUAUUUGUAAUAGCCACGAACUGAAAACAACCUAAAGUUCAAAAACUGGAUGGCGAAACUAUGGUACAUCCAUACCAUGGGGUGUUACUCAAUAAAAAUGAACUAACUGUCUAUACACAGGACAACUUCACAGAUCUCAGGUGAGUAUGCUGAAUGCAGAAGGCCAACCCCUAAGUGACAUCUUACCUUUCAUAUAUUAUUCUUGAAAUGACAAAAGUAUGCUGAGAACAGACUGGUAUGUAGGCACUGCCGGUGGUACACUGUAUACAUAUAAUUACAUAUAAAAUCUCUGUAGUGAUGUAAUAGUUCUGUCUUGAUUGCGUGCAGUGGUGGCUACAGGACUCUGCACAUGUGAUAAAAAGACACAGAACUGCAUAUGCGCCAUGUACUCCUGGUCAUCUCCCACUUUCAAUGCUGCACUCCCUACCAUCUCCGUCUGUCUCCACUGUUCAGGACCUCCUGCCGCUCAUCCUGGGUAGUGUUGGUCCCCCAGUGCUUGCUCCCUCUCGAGUCCAUCCCAGGUACCACUGAAGACUUUCCAGACCAAGAUCCUAACAUACAAAAUCAUUACUCUUUAGGCCCAAGGACAUUUAAAAAACCUUACAAAUGGAGCAAAAUCAUUAUCAAUAAGAUAUACAUGGAGUGAAAAAUAGUCUAAAAACUGCACUUGGUAACAAUACAGUAUCAUUAUUAUAUCAGAAAAAGAAUGUACACUGAUGGAAAAUAGCAUAUAAGAUCAGAGAAAAUCUUUACAAAUAAACAUUUGAACUUUUAUUUUUUGCAGUAGGGAAUAAUUUUAGAUAAUUUAUGUUCUUCUGAAACUCAUUUGUAUUCUAGUCUAUAUAUACAGCAGCCUGAGAGGUUGAGAAAAUCUGGGCCAGAGACCUAAAUACAGAGUUCCAGGAGGGUUCUGGCUGGAUGAGGCUCACUUAUGUAACCACUGGUCCAGACUCUCUUCGAUGUGAGGAACAGUUAUGCAUUCACUGUGGCAGCGGGGGGUGGGGGGGGGGCUCUGCACAAUGGGAGGAAAAUGGUGGCAUAUCGAUUAGAAGAUUAUUUCUGAAAGCAAAGGCAAAGUGAGGAAUAGUUUCAGAGUGGCUCUUAUGUACUUAGCAUGCUGAGAUUUCCACACAUUUUUCCAAAAAAGGAAAGCAUUAUGAAAACAUGGGAUUUUCCUCAGUAUCUAAAAUCAUGACUUGGCUUCAAAGGCUUAAAAAAAGCAACAACCAACAUUGCUUUUUCUGAUUACAGGAGUUACCAUAGCCAUUUCCUUUCCCACCUGCCUCCUUUAACACCUUUCACUAAGUAUCUCUGAUUGAUUCUAAGUCUCAGAGGAACAAUGUAACAAGAGAACACAUUGCACUUGGGGCAUCACACCAUCCUGUAACUAAACAUCACACUUUCCACUCAUCUUUGGAAGGACAAAUUUAUCACUCUAAACCAAUUAGGAGUUUGAUGUGCACGGCUGAAUACAUGCUAAAGUAGGGAGGGAAAAGGGAGCUAAUAAUUAGACUUUCGGAUAAGUUAGGAUUAAGAUUAAUGGUAAAACAGCCCAUUAUAGAGACUAAAAUUAAUGACAGACUCCUUUUUAACUGGAAGUAGUGUCUGCUCUACUGUGUGCCAGGGAAGCCCCAGAGAAAACACUUAAAAACGCUCAUCAAAAACAUGUCUUUUUGGAGUUCCUGUCGUGGCACAGCAGAAACGAAUCCAACUAGUAUCCAUGAGGUUUCGGAUUCAUUAACCACUGCGCCAUGACGGGAACUCCGCGUUUUCUUAUUUUUCUUGCCAUUCAUUCUUUGAGUUUAGGAAAGCCUGACUUACUGUGUUCACUGGACUUGAGUAAAAUGCAUUUCCUUUGCUCUGAGGUCACAGAAUCUUCAGAGAAGGACCUGGGAGAUCCUGGAAAGGACUCAGAAGAGGUUACCAGAGAAGUGUUAUGGUCAAAAUACUUGGGAAGCCUGUUAGAAUACCAUGGAUGAAAUCAAAUUUUCUGAAAUGCACACUUCACACUUGAAUAAGCUUUUUUUUCUUGUCUUUUUAGGGCUGCAUCUGCGGCCUCUGGAGGUUCCCAGACUAGGGGUUAAAUCAGAGCUGUAGCUACUGGCCUACACCACAGCCACAGCAACGUGGGAUCCGAGCUGCAUCCGUGACCUACACCACAGCUCACGGCAAUGCCAGAUCUUUAACCCACUGAGCAGUGCCAUGGAUUUGGGAAGCUACCACCAGCCAAACAGUGCCAUCUUCAGUGUGGCUUGACUUUGCAAUGUGUAAAUCUGCCAUUCUUGAUGAGGAUUUUGGUUUCUUCCCUUCUCUUUCCUGUCCCUAUCAAGAGCUACGAGUUUCCCCAAAGUCUGACCAUCUAGCUAUAGGAUAGUCCUAUAGAAGAUGAUUAAGUUGUGGAAGGCUGGCUCCUUCCAACUCGAGCUGCUGGUAGGAUCAUUGCUCCCACCCCACAAGCUCCUUCCGGAUGGGAUAGCAAAGACUCCAGUCCUUCCCAGGCCUACAAAAGACCGUCGCUCCAUUACUCAUCUACCCUGAACCACGCUGAUCUUCUGUCAAUGGCCAGACCUCUUAGACCAGCGCUGAGGUACCUCUCCUACCAUAUAUGCAUAGAAACCUUUAAGUAAUUGAGUGUUUGGCAUUUGUUUUGUAUGGCUUUGGUUAUCUAUUUACCUACUCCCCAGACAAUCAUAAAUAUCCCAUAACCUGGAGAUCACCAGUAUGCAUGUGACAUGGGAAUGACUAAAAGAUUAAGAUCCCCCCCAGCCCCCCCACUUCACCAGGAACAGCACACUUUGGAUUCUGCCCCAUGGGAACACGGCUGACAAGGACACUACGUCUGAACUCUAUGUUCCCUCUGGUACCAAAACUCUUCCUGAAAGGAGACUGUAAAUAGUAAAAACCACCUCUCCUUUCACAUGUCCAGGAAGACUAGAAGGCUGGAGCUAACCCUUUCCUCUUCAUUAAAUCCAUUUCUGCCCACAGCUUAAUUUGAUAUGUAAGACACUGACUGAGUCACAGGCCUCCAAAAGAAGAUGCAUCAGUGCCAGGGGAGACCUGCAGCCCUCGUGGGACUGUCUAAUAAUCUGCCUUGUUAGAGUCCCUGGGGCUUCCCAGAAUUUGAUAACAAUCUCUUUGUCCCAUGCUUCCAGACCACAGUGUGACUUCCUAUGGCGGUGCUGGACGCCAGCCCAGCCGCCCUGUAAAGCCACCACAACUCAAGACAUAAUUGGUGUUUUGCCCCCUAAAACCUUGAGCACACGCUACCCAUUUCUGUUAGCAUCGUCAGCAUUGCCUUUCAAUGUACCUGCAGAGCAGGCUCGGGGCACCAUGUUCUCAGCCCUCACUGGGGCUUUCUCCCCAUCAGUGAAGCUCUGGAGAUGGAAUCUCACUCGCUAAGCAGGACACACAAGGACACGAUGGCGUUGGUCGCCGGCUGGACCCUGUUUGUGUGCCUUACACAGGAUGCUCCCUGCCAUGUACUCUGAGUUUUCCUGUUAGUAUUUUGCUCACUAUGAUGAAGUUUCUUUAAAGUGAUGGUGCUCAAGUCCUCCUGUUACCAGCACAAGUUCAGCGUCCAGCAAACAGAAAGUGCUGAUGAGGAUCGCCGACAGCCCCAGAGCCACAUAACUCACCACAACAUGGCUCAGGAUUGCUCUUCAGGCCUGUGCAGUUCCCAGAGUCCCCACACUGAUUGUUCCUACAUAAAAUGUCAUUUAGUUUCAUUAACUCCAUGAGAUAACAAAAUUUAUCCAAUUAAACAUUCCCAUCUAACAAGGACUGGAAGAACUGGGUCACUGACUGCAUACAUGCUAUUGGUGAGAAAGAUGAAGACAAGUCUAGAACCCAGGAAGAUGAAUCAGACUGCACCUGUUUGGACAAAGGGAGGGCAAAAUACAAGGGUAAAGAUGACAGGAGUCCCUUACAGGUGGAGAGAAGUGAUGACAACAUAGACAGAAUUAAGGAAGCCAGUCGGAAGGGCUUUGUCAGAUGGGAAUAUUUCAGGUCAAUUUUACAGUCUUUCCCUGAAAGUCAAUUCUGAAAUCAUGGGAUUUAUCAGAGCCAGUUGUUCAAGUGGGUUAAGCUCUAAUGAAUUUCACACAAAGCCUUUUGUUGUCCUCAGGCUGUUUCAUUCCAGUAUCACCUGGAGUAGCGGUUAAGAUGCAGCUGCUUCCUCUCACCAGAGAGGCUCUGUGAGAACAGGUGGCUGGCUGUUCAUCGCAUCCAUCCCUGAAAGGCAUCCUGGUGAGUCUGAGUCAGCCUUAGGCCACGAUUUGAUAAACUCUGGCUUUUGCCUAUUUCUAAGGUUUUUGAUCAGGAUGAAGAGUCCGUUUAUAGCAGAGUUUAUCCCUAUCAAAUAUUUUAUCCCUACCAAACAGAGAUUUUCCUCAUAAAAUGUGUUAGAAUCUACAAGUCAAUUCUCCAUGCCCUCCGUAAAGAAGAAAGUCAAACCCCAGGUGCACUGAAGACUCCACUUACAAUCAGAGAAGGAAAGCACCUGCAGGCUCCCCCAUCAAAGGUGUCACAACACAACCGCCAGCCCACACAGGGUACCAUUCCUGGAUAGCACCACCAUCUGCGUUUCAGUGAAAAGCCUCUUCAUAAAAGAAUACGAGCAUCAAAAUACAAAGCAAAACCUCCACACAGCCUCAUGCUGGGCCCAAAUAAAUGAGCCAGUUGUUCACAGAAGAAGACAGUUUGCAGAAAACUAUAUUUUAAAGGGCAUAUACUUGAUUCCACUGUACAUAGUAAAGUUAUUUUCCAAGUUCAUGAAUAAACUUGACACAGCUUUGCUUGCAUUCGACCCAA